GGCCUGAUUUUGCGAGGUUUGUCAGCCGUGCGUUGAUGAAUGCCAGCACAUAAAAGCGAAUAAUUUAUGAAGCUCACGAAAAGGGAAAUUUUAUUCACAGGUUAACCUUGGGGAUGGGGUCUAUUCUGAACCUCGUGACUCAACAGGAGGGUCCUCCUUAUCCCCUGCAUCCACAAUCCCUCUGAAUCAUU